rnacentral:ncRNA from 1 species
AAAACGAGUGCUAUAUGAAAUAGCCGAAUUCUAUUUUGCUUUCCGAGUAGUGCCCUGCGGGGCACUUUUUUUAUUUC